GGUGAGGGCAGAUCCUGGAGAGGAAGCUGGAAGGUGACGAUGACAGGACGUGGGUGAGGGACCCCAAAGCAGGCUGGGAAAUGGGGGCUCGGGUCUGGAUACGAGAGUCGCUCACAGUGCUGGCUGACUCACGCCCAGAGAAGGCGACUGACAAGACGACUCCCCGGGCCACUCCCGUACCCCCGGGUCAGCCCUGCGGUUUGCCAGCCACUGGCCAAAGGCUGGAGAGGGUGGUGGGCACCUGCAGGAACGUGGCCGUUCUGGCUCACUCAGUGGGCACCUUCCACCAUGCCUUCACAGUGGCCUCAGGAUCACAGCCCUAAAAGGCCUUUCACAGGGGUCUGGGGGAAGCUGGGGGGUUCCUGACAAAGGAAAGAAAACCAGGCAUGUGCGGCCACCCCGGGGGGCUUCAUCUUCUCACUAUUUUCCUUUUUUAAAAAAAUUUUUUAUUAAGGUAUUAUUGAUAUACACUCUUAUGAAGGUUUCCCAUGAAAACACAAUGUGGUUACUACAUUCCCCCAUAUUAUCAAGCGCCCACCCACACCCCAAUGCAGUCACUGUCCAUCAGUGUAGUAAGAUGCCACAGAUCCACUACGUGCCUUCUCUGUGCUACACUGUUUUCUCUGUGACCCCCUCACACCAUGUGUACUAAACAUAAUACCCCUCAGUCCCCUUCUCCCUCCCUCUGCACCUGUCUGCCCCCACCCCUCCCCUUUGGUAGUCACUUCUUGGAGCUCAGACUGUUUUCACCGGUUUCUGCUAGAAACAUCUUUCUGCGAUUGUAUGAGCCUCUUCCCUUGUGUAGUUCAGAAUCUAAUUCCCAGGGGCUCUGUCAGAACGUGGCAGCCACAGUCUCUUAACGGAGAAGGUGAUUUGGAAAUGACUUUGUCUUCCUCUUCUGCUCUAAGGUGUUAUCAAAGGUAAGAAAGUUCUCACUUCCUGAUACUAAUCCUGAAUUGUCUUACAUUGCCCUUAAUCCUCACUAAUGUCCAUUCUGAAAGUUACUGGGAGUUUAUACCAACAUUUUUUAAAUGUUCCCAUCUUUAAUCCAGCAAUUCCGUUUCCAGGCAUCUAUGUUGGGAAAAUCAUCAGAAAUAAGACAAAACUGAACUACUAAAAUGUUUAACUGUUGAAAUAAACUCAAUUACCAUGAAUCAGUAUGGUUUACAUAGAAAUGAUAAUAGUGUAAAGUUACUAAAGAGGCAGAAAAAAAAUCACUCUAAUCCCGUUAAGUGCAAAACUGCGUGUAUGAUUUCAUCUUUGCAAAAAAAGACUACAGGGAAAUACACCAAAUAUUAAGGGUAGUUCUUUUCUCCAGGUUAAGGUUUUUAAAGUUUGUGUCGUCCUUUUCCAGUUUACACAUUUUCUACAGUACGACGCUCGUGAUUGGAAGAUGCUCCCCCCCUGAGGCUAGUCACUUACAAAGCAGAGCUAACGGCUGUCUGUAUCUGAAGACACAGGCUAGAGUUGGCAGUUGUUUCUCUGUACACGUGCUGAUGGCCAGCCGACGGCCAACCGCUGGGUCCUCCUGCUAGGAACUGGGCCCGCCGUCGCUCACCAGGACGUCCUGAGUGACUACGCCCCCGCCCCCCGACGUGCUCCCAGGACACGGGACGUCUCCCCUGUGCAACUGCUUUACACAACUUCCUGCCAGGAACCGCCUAGAAGGCGCUGUGGCUUCCCAGAUGCCUGCGUGGCGGGACCGAGCGUCCCGGCGCCCGCGUCGGCCCUGUCCUGCCCACCUGGACGGCACACAUCACACGAAGAGAUACCUUGUUG